AUUGAACGCUGGCGGCAGGCCUAACACAUGCAAGUCGGACGGUAGCACAGAGAGCUUGCUCUUGGGUGACGAGUGGCGGACGGGUGAGUAAUGUCUGGGGAUCUGCCCGAUAGAGGGGGAUAACCACUGGAAACGGUGGCUAAUACCGCAUAACGUCGCAAGACCAAAGAGGGGGACCUUCGGGCCUCUCACUAUCGGAUGAACCCAGAUGGGAUUAGCUAGUAGGCGGGGUAAUGGCCCACCUAGGCGACGAUCCCUAGCUGGUCUGAGAGGAUGACCAGCCACACUGGAACUGAGACACGGUCCAGACUCCUACGGGAGGCAGCAGUGGGGAAUAUUGCACAAUGGGCGCAAGCCUGAUGCAGCCAUGCCGCGUGUAUGAAGAAGGCCUUCGGGUUGUAAAGUACUUUCAGCGGGGAGGAAGGCGAUGCGGUAAAUAACCGCGUCGAUUGACGUUACCCGCAGAAGAAGCACCGGCUAACUCCGUGCCAGCCGCCGCGGUAA
rnacentral:rRNA from 1 species